rnacentral:lncRNA from 1 species
AAGGCCUCUUCCAGCCCAUCAAUAUUUUCAGCCCACUAAUGUAAAAGGACUAGACGAGAGAGAAAUAAUUGACUUUUUUCAAGUUGGCUGUCAAAGCAACAUUUGUUUCAUCAUACAUCAUUUGUUGUGAUUACAUCUUCAUCACAUUAUAGACAUGAGAAGCAGCAACUAAAAGAUUGUCAUCAGCCACGUUCAAAUAACCUUGGCAACAAAAAAAUAUCAUUACAGCUCCAGCAACUACUAAUAUACAGUACAACUUCCGCUUAUGUGCAAACCUAUAGGAAGGCUAAACAGAAAAGAAAUAGCUAAAAAGGAUCAGUAGCUUAGAUAUUCAGAUAUCACUGCUAUGCUGCCAAUUAGAUUUGAUUGCAGCCCUUCUAGUUUGGUAAGGGCAUAUCUCCAGCAUCAUCUCUCAUAACCUAAAAUAAGGAACAUAAACCAGUAUUAGAAUUUGCAACUUUUUAUCUUGCCAAAAUAUUAGUACUUGUUUAAACCAAAGGAUUGAUGGCAAAAGUUAUCUCCAUAGCCGUUUGUUGGAUACUGAUGGUAGUUUGAGUUGGUAGGCUGAUUAGUUCAGUAAGUGUGUUAAACAACCAAGUGCAUUUUUCUCUAUAGCCGAAUGAGGUAUAUAGUUCAAAGUGUGUUAAGCAUGUGACAAAAAACAUUUUUUCUAUUUCAGCAUGAUAGACCAUAAAAAUAACUUCCUAAUUGCAGGUUUACUAGCUAUAGGUCUUGUUAUCGGCAACCAAAAGCAUUAGGUGAUGAAGAACAAUAUAUUUGCAAUGCAAUCCGUUAGCAAACCACCAAUAUGAUAGUCAUGUGGGUAUUACAUCAGGAAGAAGCCAACAGAUAAGUACAGAUGACAAGAAACAAGAACAGAGAGGUUGUACAUCACAUGACACAUGCAUAUCUCCAUGGCACCAACCAAGCAAGGAAUGUACAAACAAGAAGCGCACCUUCGGCGUCUCAUCAUCGGUCAUGAUAGGUGUGCAGGGAGGUGGUUGACGAGCCUUCCUUCUUGUCAUGCUUGGUCAUGAUCUGGAUAGCAAAAAGCAGGAUGGGAGGAACAUCAAGUAGAGCAUGUAUGGAACAUCAUAAUGACAAUACUGAGAUCACUCAAGCAAUCCUAAUGAUGCACAAACCUCACAAUGUUGCCAACAAGGAAAGAACCUCCUUGAUCUUGUCCUUGAAGUUCUCUAGCUCUAGGUUAUUCAGCAACUCGGUAUUUGCUCAACCGUGUGUGUACAUACAUCAAGGCAUACAUAAAAUGUUCAAGUUAUAUUCUCAGCUAACUGUGAUGUAACAAAAUAAUUAAUUAGGACUUCAAAGGUAAAAACUGAGCUUAGACAUGAAACUUUAAAGCACUCAUUUCAACCAUGUUCAGAUAAACUUGAGGUAAAUUAGCAAUAAGGAUAUUGGUUACAAGCUAGGUGAAAUGCAAACGAAGUCCUAUUGUAUUGAUGGAUCCUAACUUGUUUAAACUAGAGCAGAUUGUUCAACUAGUGCAAUCUAGUAGUCUAAAAAGAGAGAAGUAUGUUCAUUCUCAGUUACACAUUAACUAGAAUAGAAAUGAGAGACACGUCAUUAGAAAAGAAAUGAGAGACACUAAUAUAAGCAAGAACUUUCAACAAGUACACAUUAAUUAUAACAUAGCUUUCUAGCAUUGUUGUUGUUUGAAUAUUAAAACCAGUAGUUGUCAGCUAUGGAGCAUCGCUCAUUGAGCAGCAUUACUAUGUCAGCUAGCAAAAUCUUCAUGUACUAACUUACACAAAUUUGACAUACUAAUGCUGGAGAAAAUAAUUGUUUGCACAUCAUCGUUCAGGACCUUUACACAACUAUAUGCAGCACAAUCACAAAUGACAUUUACAAAAGCAACACAGACAAAUAAUUGAAUCAUUCAAUCAAUUGGCGAGGCCCAAAAAAAUUAUUAUGGGGCUUCACAUAGCUAUAGAAACCAUAUCAUUAAACCGAACAUUUGCAAAAGUAGAGCGAGGUUCUCUCAAUGAUUGUAGCCUUUGAUAUAUUUAUCGUACCUACUUCCUACAGGAUCAUUUCAUCUAAACCCCUACCUGACUAAACUAACAAGUGAUCAUAUUACAGACAAAAACAAGUGGCAGUAGCUAACAAAGUGGCAGCAGCUCAAAACAAGUAAAACAUAUAUUGAUAAGCAAAGGCAAAAGGCUAAACACAUGUUUGAUCAGAAGAACUAAAAGCUAAAUCAUGUCAUUCCAGAAAGAAUGACUCAUGCAAAAUACAAAACAUGCGGCCUAGAAAAUAGGUCAACAAGUUACAGAUAACUGAUCAAUGGUAGAGCCAGACAACAGUCUACGCAAGCUGGAGCGGCCUCUCGAUUGCCGACGUACACGUCCAGGUGACCCGUCUAGAGUAGCACGUAGUAGAGCACCUGCACCCUGUGAAUCAUUCAGCGAGUCAUCAAUAAGAAAGGGGAUCGAGAAUUCAAAAAGGGGAGGAAGCAGCUAACCGUCCAAAGAAGACGGGCUAGUUAUAGAUGGAGAGGUAGGCAUGCUCGAGUGUGAACACCAUCGCUGUUGCCGCUGUCCAAAUCGGGGUGUCAAGGAGGAAGCGAUCCGAAGCAACAAAAACUGAGCAAAAUUAAAAGCAUCAGUUGCCAGAAGCAUGUAGGCAGCGGUACUGGAUAAAGCUGUUACUGAAUAUAAAUACUGAACUACAACAUCAUACAAGUUUGAAUACUGCACUAUAUAAAUACUACACUACAUAUUAC